GUUAGGAUCACCACUUUAUUUUAAGAAUGUGAAAUCUCAGAAUAAUAGUAGAGAGAAUGAUUGAUUGAUUUCAGCUUUUAUUUCUUUCAUCACAUUCCCAGUGGGGAUGUGUAUUUGUAUUUGGUACCAUUGCCUUUAAAUUCUUUAACUUGGGUUAAACGUUUCAGGUAGCCUUCCACAAGCUUCCCACAAUAAGUUGGGUGAAUUUUGGCCAACUCCUCCUGACGGAGCUGGUGUAACUGAGUCAGAUGAACAUGGUACCUUCAGGCAUUUGGAAAUUGUUCCCAAGGAUGAACCAGACUUGUGGACGUCAACAAUGUUUUUUUCUGAGGUCUUGGCUGAUUUCUUUUAAUUUUCCCAUGAUGUCAAGCAAAGAGGCACUGAAUUUGAAGGUAGGCCUUGAAAUACAUCCACAGGUACACCUCCAAUUGACUCAAAUGAUGUAAAUCAGAAGCUUCUAAAGCCAUGACAUAAUUUUCUUGAAUUUUCCAAGCUGUUUAAAGGCACAGUCAACAUAGUGUAAUUAAACUCCCGACCCACUGGAAUUGUGACACAGUGAAUUAUAAGUUUAAUCAUCUGUAAACAAUUGUUGGAAAUAUUACUUGUGUCAUGCACAAAGUAGAUGUUGUAACCGCCUUGCCAAAACUACAGUUUGUUAACAAGAAAUUUGUGGAGUGGUUGAAAAAUUAGUUUUAAUGACUCCAACCUAAGUGUAUGUAAACUUCCGACUUCAACUGUAUAUCAGUAUAUCAGUAUUAGACUCGUCUCCUAGCUUAUCCACACUCCAGUAUGAUGAGCAGUACGCCUACUCCUGGAAUCCGAAUGAGGAGACGUAACCAGGCAACCAUCCACCAAGUUUGGCAGCCCAAUAUGGGAGGUGUAGGCUGAAGUCGUGACUCACUUCACAGCUCACACCUCCCUUCGUAGCACUAGUUCUGGUAAAUACCGACUAAUAACACACAUUCGGUGGAAGUGGCAGACUGGCGGGAUUUUGAAGACCAUUAUUGGGCCAAGGAUGAUGAGUGAUACUUGACCUCAGAAGAAGAUGAAUAAAUCCCCUGUAAGAGACUGAGGUUUACAAAACGAGAUGC
rnacentral:lncRNA from 1 species